AGGAAUGAGCAGUUAUGUUUUAGUUGUUUACUGUAGUGCUCUUGCUACCGUCUUUCUCCUUCCUUGUUUCAUCUUACAAAAGAAGAUUUCACUUACUUUUUCACUCCUUGGAGGAACAUUCCUUCCUGGCCUAUUUGGGAGUGCAGGUUUGUUACCGAUAUAUAAUGGCAUCAACUACAGCUCACCAACACUUGCUUCAGCAAUGGGAAAUCUUAUACCGAUCUUUACAUUCAUACUGGCGAUCACUUUCAGGUAGGAAGGUACAGUCCUAUUUACUGUAUCGAUGUUCGUUUGGACUUACAGUAUGUAUCACUCUGCAAUUAAGCUUGUGAUAUGUUUCUAAAUUAUUAG